GAUGAACGCUGGCGGCGUGCCUAAUACAUGCAAGUCGAGCGAACGGACGAGAAGCUUGCUUCUCUGAUGUUAGCGGCGGACGGGUGAGUAACACGUGGAUAACCUACCUAUAAGACUGGGAUAACUUCGGGAAACCGGAGCUAAUACCGGAUAAUAUUUUGAACCGCAUGGUUCAAAAGUGAAAGACGGUCUUGCUGUCACUUAUAGAUGGAUCCGCGCUGCAUUAGCUAGUUGGUAAGGUAACGGCUUACCAAGGCAACGAUGCAUAGCCGACCUGAGAGGGUGAUCCGCCACACUUGAACUGAGACACGGUCCAGACUCCUACGGGAGGCAGCAGUAGGGAAUCUUCCGCAAUGGGCGAAAGCCUGACGGAGCAACGCCGCGUGAGUGAUGAAGGUCUUCGGAUCGUAAAACUCUGUUAUUAGGGAAGAACAUAUGUGUAAGUAACUGUGCACAUCUUGACGGUACCUAAUCAGAAAGCCACGGCUAACUACGUG
rnacentral:rRNA from 1 species